rnacentral:tRNA from 1 species
AAUAAAGUGCCUGAGUAAAAGGAUUGUCUUGAUAGGACAAAUAAUGUGUUUUCACCUUUAUUA